rnacentral:lncRNA from 10 species
CCGGCUUCCACCUGCCCGAGGUGCUUCCCGGCCCGCUGGGCAAGGACGGGGGCGCUCGGGCAGGGUCUGAGGGAGACCUGGGAUGGGCGGGGACUGUAAGGGCAACAGGUGACAAGCCGCGCCCCGAGCGAAGCUCUCGCCUCAGGGAUCGUGAGCGACCCAGGUGCCCCCAGAGUCCAGCCGGUCUUCCGCGGCACUUACGCGCUCGUGGGUCCACCGCCGGGCAGAACCGAAACUUUCUGGGGCCAAGCGGAAGAGGACGGGAACGCGGUGCUGACGGCCAUGACGCGCACACCAAGAGGGUGGCGGGGGCGGACUACAACUCCCGGCGUGCUCCCCGGGGCUGAGGCCUGCAACUCCCAUCGGACUCCCGGGGCUCCGACUACAACUCCCGGCGACUCCGCAGGGCGGGGUUUAAGUGCUCCCACCGCCCAGUCCCCGGACCGACUGUCCCACCCGCGACCCAUGCUGGCCCCAGGUUAACGCCUGCAACCCCGGAGGGCCACAAAUCAAAGGUCUGGCAUCUUGACAACAACGCUGUUCUUGUGUGGCUAAGGAGCACUCCAAAGAUGGAUAAUCACAUAUUCAUACCAUGGGACAUGCCCCUCGGAUGCAUCCUCAAGAAGGGAGAAAAGUUUGAACCCCAAACCCUAAAAAGGAAAAGGCUAAUAUUUUUCUGUAACACAGCUUGGGUUGAAUAAAAUCUCCAGGACCAGUAAUGUUGGCCAGAAAACAGAAGCAUAAAUUUUAAUACAAUCCAUCAACUAGAUUUGUUUUGCUGUCAACAGGGAAAAUGAACAGAAAUCCUUUAUGUACAGGCCUUCGUGGCCCUAAGAAACAACCAUGGCCUUUGUCAGGCUUGUAAAAUGGAUCCAGUGAUGAUAGCGGCCAUUGUCAGGCAGCUGCCACCAGUUGGUUUGGGAGGCCUCUUAUUGGGUUUACCCAGGGCUCAAGCCCCAGAGGAACCAAGGGCAGAGCUUGGGUCAAACCCCACUGCCCCUUCUACCCCUUAAUAUCCAAGUCUUCCAGCCUUGGAUCCUUGCUCUUUCUAGCCAGGGCCACCCUCUGGACACCACCCCCUUAAGUUAUGCCCCUUUCAAGAGGUUAGCAGCCCCAGUGGACCCA